rnacentral:rRNA from 1 species
UACGUAGGAUGCUAGCGUUGUCCGGAUUUACUGGGCGUAAAGCGCGCGCAGGCGGCACUGUAAGUAAGGUGUGAAAUAUCCCUGCUCAACGGGGAGGGUGCACUUUAGACUGCAGAGCUAGAGGACGGUAGAGGGGGGUGGAAUUGCUGGUGUAGCGGUGAAAUGCGUAGAUAUCUGGAGGAAUACCGGUGGCGAAGGCGGCAUCCUGGACCAUUACUGACGCUGAGGCGCGAAAGCUAGGGGAGCAAACGGG